UCAAACUUGAUUUCGCCCCCUCCCCUUCCCACCCAGCGAUACAUCUAAGGCUUGGAGACUCAGACGGAAGAUUGCUAAUGCAAGAAAGGAGAGCGAACUGCAGCCGCGCUAAGGGGAAGAUUGGCUGCCACCUGAAGGACCAAGAUUCUUUGCACGAUUGCCAUGCUAUAUGGCAAGAAGAACAUUUGGAUCCAUUGCCAAAUACCUUGCAUUAUUUUUUGCUCAAAAGAACUACAAUUCCAGGUGUGUUCGGACUGGAUGUGCAGACCAUGAAUGAGGGAUAUGGUCCCUCUUUGAUGAAGGAAGAGGUGAUUCAUCAAGAUAGCCACACUGAUGCCAAAUUCCAGGAGAUCUGUGGUAUCCCAUGCCUGUGAUAAUGAGCAGCAGGGAUGUGAUGAGAAAUGUCAUCCUAGAGUUAUGACUGGAGACUAUUCCCAACAAUGUAGGUGUUCCAAUAAUAUGGAUGGGAGAUGCUAUGAGGACAGAUGUAGUGCUGGGAAAAAGCAGCUUGGUGAUGGUUCAGAAGAUGGUGGGGAUACAAGAUACCAAGCUGGGUUUAAAAAUUUAGGUGAACAAGAUGUCCAUAAUGGCUGUUGUAAUGAAUUGGACUUUGAUGGAAUGCUGAGAUCCCACCCAGACUUGGAUGGUGAUGACAUCAAGAAAAUAAUGAAACUGCACUCCAACAGAGUGUGUAACCAGGCAUGUGGCAGCAACUGGAAUGACACUUCAGUUGCCAGUGGGGAUGGAGAGAAUGAUCUGCAUGGCUAUCUAGAUGAGGAUGGUGAUCAAGAUUUGUCUUCAGACUUGGAUGGUGAUCUCAACCAAGACAUGGAUGAAAGCUCUAAUCAAGCUUUCCUCCCAGAUGUGGAAGGAAACCCAAGUGUCUCUCCAGAAAUGGAGGGAGGAGCAGAUGAAGAUUCCAGUGAGGAGACCGAUGCAGCAAUGGAUGAUGUCAGUGAGGACUUUGAUUCUGAUGUGGAUGGAGAGGACAGUGCUCUCCAUUUGGAUGGCAGUGACGGUGACCAAAACAUCGAUGUCACCACUAAUCAACUGGAUGUCAACAGUGAGUCAUCUCUCACAGCCACCUCAUCCAUUUUUCCUUCUGUGCCUGACAAACCUUACAGAUGUCUGGAAUGUGGAAAAUGUUUUCGCACCAGCUCUACCUUGGGCCAGCACCGCCGCAUCCACAGUGGCGAGAAGCCCUACAAGUGUGGGGUCUGCAGCAAGUGCUUCACCCGGGGUUCCACCUUCCUCCAGCACCAGCGGACUCACACAGGUGAGAAACCGUACAAGUGCCCAGAUUGUGGCAGAUGCUUUGGUCGGAGCUCUAACCUCAUUCAGCAUCAGCGGGUUCACACGGGCGAGAAGCCAUAUAAAUGUGGUAUCUGUGGAAAGUCUUUUUCUCUCAGUUCUACCCUCAUCCAGCAUCAGAUUAUUCACACAGGUGAAAAACCGUACAAAUGCCCUGAUUGUGGCAAAUGCUUCAACCGCAACUCCAAUUUGCUGAAUCACCGGCGAGUGCACACAGGGGAGCGUCCUUUUGCCUGUCAUAUCUGUGGCAAGAAGUUUUCUGAAAGCUCCUCCCUCACGCAACACCAGCGGACACACACUGGGGAACGUCCUUUCCGGUGUAAUGACUGUGGUAAAUCUUUUUCCCUUAGCUCAACUCUGAUCCAGCAUCAUGUCACACACACUGGGGAAAAACCUUACGAGUGCCUGCAUUGUGGCAAGUCCUUUGGGCUCAGCUCCACCCUGUUGCGCCACCAGCGGGUCCACACUGGGGAGAAAACAUUUGAGUGCCAGGACUGUGGGAAGACCUUUGGUGUUAGUUCACACUUCUUGCAACACCGAAGAGUCCACACAGGUGAACGCCCCUUUCAGUGCCCAGAUUGUGGGCGUACAUUUAGCCAGAGGGCUCACCUGGUGCUGCAUCAAAAGGCCCACCAAAAUGGGAUGGCCUCUCAGCCUCUCCACCAAACCCUCUAUAUUUGCAAUGACUGUGGCAAGAGCUUCCAGCAGAGUUCACACUUGGCACAACAUCAGAGGGUCCACACUGGUGAGAGGCCGUACCGAUGUGAGGAUUGUGGGCAUGGCUUCUCCCAGAGUUCCAAGCUGCUGGAGCACCAGCGGGUUCAUACUGGUGAGAGGCCAUAUGCUUGUAAGGAUUGUGGGCACCGCUUUGGGCAUAGCUCAGCACUUGUGCAACAUCGGCGCAUUCACACAGGUGAGAGGCCCUAUAAAUGCCCAAACUGUGACAAGGCUUUCUGUCAGAGCUCGGCUCUCAUUCAACACCAGCGUAUCCACACCGGGGAAUUGCCAUACAUCUGCCAGGAAUGCGGCCAGCGCUUUCGAUACCUCCUGCAGUACACACGGCACCAAAAGGUGCAUGCCAGGGAAGGGGCCUCAGCUGCUUCCAGUCUUGCAGGAGUGGCAGCCAUUUUGGCACUGAAGAAUAAGUUGGUAUCUUCAGCAGGGGGUGAGACCCUGGGAGAGACGUUAAUGGAGAAGGAUUCUUCUGUAGUGGAAUAUGGAGAGUGAAUAAGAUGGCAUGAGACUGAAGGAAAUUUCAGAGGGAACUAUGAGGCAAUGGUGAUGCAAUGGUACAGAGGAGAGGAAACACAUCGUAAGAAUCAUUCUCUGAAUUUUUCUCUGUAGUUAUUUUAUCUUAUUCUUUGCAGCCUCCCAUACACCCACUCACCCUGCACCUGUUGAAACUAUCACUGUGCCUGCCUACUCUUGCCAAAGACAUAUAAACAUAAAUGUGUCUGGUUAGGAUGAAAAAGCCUUUAUUCUUCACCUUGCUGUGGAGAUAAAGGCAAAUGUUUGUGACGGGACAUUUUCCUUUACUUCCAGCUUUGUCCUUAAAGACAUACUCCAGGAGUGAGGGGGCGUUCUGAGGUGAUGGGCUCUAAAGAGAUGGCCCCAAGACUGAGAAGGGUAAUGAGUUCUAGUAGGGGGCCCAAAGGGCACAUUUGAAAAUCUGGAAUUGUAGUCAACUAAUAUUUACUCAGAGUAGACUAACUGCAAUUAAAAGACAUGGCUAACUUGAGUCCAAUAAUCUCAAUGGGUCUACUCUGAGUAAAAAGUUGAAUACAACCCCUUGAGUUGCAUCCAGCUAAGUUCUACUCAGAGUCGACUCACUGAAAUUAAUGGACCUAUGUUAGCCAUGCCUUUUAGUUUCAAUGGGUUUACUCUGAAUAGAACUGGCACUGGAUACAGCCCCUGAGAAACUGUUGUGGGUUCCACAAAAAUGCCCAUUUCUCAGAAGAAAAACUGGCUAUCCUCACAGCAACACUCAAACAAAAGGCAAAACACACUGAAAACAAAUAAAACACAAAAGCAGGCAACCUCCUCCCCAAAACCAAACUCCCGCUAGGCAAACACCCCCCAUUAAAACACUGGGAAGGGCAGGGAGCUGUGGACAUCUAGGGGAGGGGUUGAGGGCUUUGUGGUGCCCAUGGGCACCAUGUUGGAGACUUUACAGUAAGUGCUUUAAGAAGCCUAACUCUCCUGUGUUUUCUCACUGGCUCCAGAAAGGGAUCAACUGGGUGAGAGAUGGCAAUGCUGUAGGCCUGUCAGUGCCUCAUUUUCUGUCUGAGAGGUAGAGAUUAGCUUUUCUGUGUGUGUCAGAAAAGCACUUAGGAGAUGCGGUACGUGAUGAGGGCAGGAGAGAUUAGCCCAUGUUGGGAUUCAUACGUCCCUUUUGUGAAUUUGAGGGUGGGGGCAUCCAGAACUGUGUCUGUUCUAGGAAGCAAAAAUGGUCAAAAUUCAAUGCCUCUCUACAACUGACACUAAAAGCACUUGGUGUUAGCCUCCCUUGUGCAAUUUGCCCCAUGGGCAAAUGACAGUAGUGUAUUUAGUAAAUGGUCUGGAACAACUUUUAAAAUUGGUUAAGAGUCACACAGGAAGGUGAGUUCUGUGUUCCUGUUUCAUCUUUCAUGUGAAUUUUAUGUCACCUGUGAGUAAAAAUUGUUCCACCUUAAACUGCACAACUGUACCUCCAUCCCCGUUAUUAUGUUAGAAGGCUACACUUUCUAGACUUAAGAAAACAAGGGCAGUGUCCUUUUCCAGGCUAGGCUGGGUAAGUUUUUUUUUUGGGGGGGGGGGGACCUUUCUAGACGAAGACACUUCCCUUGUGAAUAGCAGUAAUCCUGGAGCGACUGCAACAUGACUCCACAGAUUCAUGAGCAGUUACGCAAUUUUCAACAUACUGAUGCAAAAGCCCGGAAAAUGGAUUAAAUCGCCCCCUGCUUCCAGCUCCCCACGGACAAGAGACCUCCAUAGAUGAAGAAGGUAGCAUAAGUGAGUUAUCUCAUUCACCAAUUUGUGCCUCUUUUCACUCGCUUGCAAUAAAGACUUAUGGGCACACCUGAGUAUGUCUCCACUUCUUUUCUGAACUUUUGGAUCUGUCUGCACAGUUUGUGUCUUGGCGGUCCCUUCCUCCUUCCAUUCCUUCAGCUUCAGGUCUAUUCCCUACUCUUAAAUGCAAUGCAAGGUUUCUUUGGAGUAAUCCACCCUCCCUCAGAUUGGUAUUUCCAUGUUUUCAUAUGCACAACAUCAGUGGUUACCAAACCAUUCCCCUCAUAAACCACUUGAA